rnacentral:rRNA from 1 species
AUUUUCUUUAAAUUUAAAGAAUUUGGCAGUAAUUUAGUCUAGUCAGAGGAACCUGCUUUUAAUUAGUCGAUAUAACGCGUAGAAUCUUACUUAUUUUUAUUUAGUUUGGAUACCAUCAUUAUCAGAUAAUUUUUAUAGAGUAGAAUUAUUGAAUUUAAUUGUUAUUACCAAAAUUAGAUCAAGGGGCAGCUUAUAAAUAAGGAAGAGGGGGUUACAAUAAAAUAUAUUUAGACGAAAUAAGAGAGUAAGUUUUCUUAUGAAGGAGGAUUUGAUUGGAAUAUAAGUUUAAUAUGCUUAGGAGAUAAAAGCUCUAAAUUGUGUACACAUCGCC